rnacentral:rRNA from 1 species
GAUGAACGCUGGCGGCGUGCUUAACACAUGCAAGUCGAACGAUGAAGCCGAGCUUGCUGGGUGGCUUAGUGGCGAAAGGGUGGGUAACACGUGUGUAACCGGCACUUGACUCUGGGAUAAGCGCUGGAACCGGCGGCUAAUACCGGAUACGAGCUUCCACCGCAUGGUGAGUUGCUGGAAAGAAUUUCGGUCAUGGAUGGACUCGCGGCCUACCAGGUCGUUGGUGAGGUCACGGCUCACCAAGCCGACGACCGGUAGCCUGCCUGAGAGGGGGGCCGGCCACGCUGGGCCUGGGCCACGGCACAGCCUCCUCUGCUAGGCAGCAGUGGGGAAUGUUGCACAAUGGGCGCAAGCCUGAUGCAGCACCGCCGCGUGAGGGACGAAGGCCUUCGGGUAGUAAACCUCUUUUAGCAGGGAAGAAGCGAAAGUGACGGUACCUGCAGAAGAAGCACCGGCUAACUACGUG